rnacentral:rRNA from 1 species
CUACGGAGGGUGCAAGCGUUACUCGGAAUCACUGGGCGUAAAGCGCGCGCAGGCGGCUAUUUAAGUUGGAUGUGAAAGCCUACGGCUCAACCGUAGAACUGCAUCCAAAACUAUUUAGCUAGAGUGUGGGAGAGGAAGAUGGAAUUAGUUGUGUAGGGGUAAAAUCCGUAGAGAUAACUAGGAAUACCAAAAGCGAAGGCAAUCUUCUGGAACACUACUGACGCUGAGGCGCGAAAGCGUGGGGAGCAAACAGGAUUAGAAACCCGGGUAGUCC